rnacentral:rRNA from 1 species
CUNCAGGUGAUCCUGCGGGACCCGACUGCUAUCGGAUUGAGAUUUAGCCAUGCGAGUCGAACGUCCCCCUGUUGCGGGGGGCGUGGCGUACGGCUCAGUAACACGUAGUCAACCUGCCCUGGAGACAAGGACAACCCCGGGAAACUGGGAUUAAUCCUUGAUAGGUCAUCUCAUCUGGAAGGAGAGAUGGCUUAAAGGGGUACGCGGGCUUCUUCCGCGAAUCUGCUCCAGGAUGGGACUGCGUCCGAUCAGGCUGUUGGCGGGGUAAUGGCCCACCAAACCUGUAACCGGUACGGGCCUUGAGAGAGGUGGCCCGGAGAUGGACACUGAGAGAAGGGUCCAGGUCCUACGGGGCGCAGCAGGCGCGAAACCUUCGCAAUGCGCGAAAGCGUGACGAGGUUAAUCCGAGUGACUCCCGCUGAGGGGGUCUUUUGUCAGCUGUAAAUAGGCAGGCGAAUAAGGGGAGGGCAAGCCUGGUGUCAGCCGCCGCGGUAAUACCAGCUCCUCGAGUGGUCGGGGCGAUUAUUGGGCCUAAAGCAUCCGUAGCCGGUUCCGUAGGUCCUCUGUUAAAUCCAACCGCUUAACGGUUGACCUGCAGAGGAUACCGCGGGACUAGGAGGCGGGAGAGGCGGACGGUACUCCGCGUGUAGGGGUAAAAUCCUUUGAUCCGCGGAAGACCACCAGUGGCGAAGGCGGUCCGCCAGAACGCGCUCGACGGUGAGGGAUGAAAGCUGGGGGAGCGAACCGGAUUAGAUACCCGGGUAGUCCCAGCCGUAAACGAUGCUAGCUAGAUGAUUCAUUCGCAAGUCGCGAAUGAAGUGUCGCAGGGAAGCCGUUAAGCUAGCCGCCUGGGGAGUACGGUCGCAAGACUGAAACUUAAAGGAAUUGGCGGGGGAGCA